ACAAAGUGCAAAUUUGAACGCGGCACCGCAAAGAGUGCCGGGGCUUCUCCCGUUU
rnacentral:tRNA from 1 species